GGCGAACGGUCGCGUAACACGUAGGCAACCUGCCCCGAAGUAGGGGAUAACCGGGCGAAAGCUCGGCUAAUACCGCAUGUGGCCACCGGAUCGCAUGAUCGGGUGUCCAAAGCACCUUUGGGUGCGCUUUGGGAUGGGCUUGCGGCCUAUCAGCUGGUUGGUGGGGUAACGGCCUACCAAGGCGACGACGGGUAGCUGGUCUGAGAGGAUGGUCAGCCGGAUUGGGACUGAGACACGGCCCAGACUCCUACGGGGGGCAGCAAUUAGGAAUCUUGCGCAAUGGGGGCAACCCUGACGCAGCGACGCCGCGUGCGGGAUGACGGCCUUCGGGUCGUAAACCGCUUUUCUCGGGGAAGAAGAAUGUGACGGUACCCGAGGAAUAAGCCCCGGCUAACUACGUGCCAGCAGCCGCGGUAAUACGUAGGGGGCGAGCGUUGUCCGAAGUUACUGGGCGUAAAGCGCGCGUAGGCGGCUAUUUAAGUCUGGUGUGAAAGGCUGAGGGCUCAACCCCAGCAGUGCACUGGAGACUGGGUAGCUUGAGUGCGGGAGAGGAGAGCGGAAUUCCUGGUGUAGCGGUGAAAUGCGUAGAUAUCAGGAGGAACACCGGUGGCGAAGGCGGCUCUCUGGUCUGCAACUGACGCUGAGGUGCGAAAGCGUGGGGAGCGAACGGGAUUAGAUACCCCGGUAGUCCACGCCGUAAACGAUGAGUGCUAGGUGUCAGGGGUAUCGACCCCUCUGGUGCCGCAGCUAACGCAUCAAGCACUCCGCCUGGGGAGUACGGCCGCAAGGUUGAAACUCAAAGGAAUUGACGG
rnacentral:rRNA from 1 species